GACUUCCGGGUCAGCGCCAUCGGUGAAUGGCGGAGUUCCUCCGACUGGAGGAACGGUCUCCGUGGAAGCAGGGGCUUCCCGCCGCGGCGAAGGCGGGGGCCCAUUAGAAAUCCCAGGCGGGAGAAGCCUGGGAACGUGGGGUUCGGCAGAGCACCAAAGCGCCUCCCCUACUCACGAGGAAACCCUUUUUCGGGGCUCCGGAGUGAAGCGGGUGGAGCAGCGCGGUGCUGCGAACUGAUUGCUACUUCCAUGGAGGGAAGCCGCGCAGCCAUCGCCGGAGAGCGCUGACUUUUCCUGAUGACAUUUGGACUCUAAAUCAAGUACCCGUGAGUAAAAACGGAGAAUUGGACUAAGAAAUCUUUAAAAUUAUGAAAUUAGGCACGAAGCGGGAAUGGUGUAAACAGGAAGUCCGCCUCCCGUCCUUGUAUACAGCUUAAAGCAAAGAUCUUGUAACCUAACAGCCUGAAAAGUUCUUUUAAAGUUGGAAAUUUCCUGCACCCAUAACCAACAAAACCCCCUUGGAAGCAGGAGAGGGGGGGGGAUUUGACAGCUUAAUCCUGCAGGAAGUAAGAAAAGGAACGUAAGUUUCCACCGUCCCAAACCUGGGGACGGGGUGUCGGGACAGAAAUUGUUUGAGACGUCCAUUGAUUGAAAGUGGAGCACUUUUGACAGAUAGU